UGCGAGGCAAACAAGCAACGACAUCGUAUCUCCUUGAAGGUCUGCGUAGAGACGACGGUGUAAACCGGAGAAGUGUGCGAGGUUUGUCAGGGGAGGGUGAGAGGGACGGCGAGAGGCGGAACAAACCGGUGUGUGUGCCCGGAUACACGCUGAAACGGCUCGCCCGCACUGCAGAUUAACUCUUCAGACGCCGGGGAUGCUCAACACUAAAGCACAAGUCACACUAUCAGCGUCCUUUGUUGUUUUUUAUGGGGGGGAUCCACUGGACGUUGUGAGGAGAUCUUUCCCGGUGUUGAUGAUUUGAGCAUAGGAUUCAGACUCUGCGCGUUCCUCAGUAUAAUCGAGUAAUCUGACAGAUGAUCCAGUGAUGGACAGCUCCUCGACUGAGCGUUUUUGCAGAAGUGGAAUAGAUAUGAUGAGAAAUUCAUCCCAGCUGUCAAUAUAAGCAACAAAUCAACUCGAUUUUCCUCUCUUCAAUCUACCUCUGACAAGAUCAGCCACCAAUAACCCAUCAACUCAGGCUGAACACAAAGCUUCCUUUGUGACUCUUAGAAGAUCCACUUUCAUCCUUCAAAUCAACACCUCUUACAUAUCACUCAUUAUA